UACGUAGGGGGCAAGCGUUGUCCGGAUUUAUUGGGCGUAAAGAGCGUGUAGGCGGCCUGACAGGUCUGCUGUGAAAACUCGAGGCUCAACCUCGAGAUGUCGGCGGAACGUCCUGGCUAGAGUCCGGAAGAGGAGAGUGGAAUUCCUGGUGUAGCGGUGAAAUGCGCAGAUAUCAGGAAGAACACCUAUGGCGAAGGCAGCUCUCUGGGACGGUACUGACGCUGAGACGCGAAAGCGUGGGGAGCGAACAGG
rnacentral:rRNA from 1 species